rnacentral:tRNA from 1 species
ACCGGUGUGGUGUAGUGGUUUGAGUGUUGGACUAUGACUCUGGAGACCAGGGUUUGAAUCCCUGCUCAGCAA